GAGAAUUCCUUGAACCUGCCAUUCCAGUCUCCGUUCUGCUGGUUCUGCUACAGGUUCCAUUGGAAGUAUCCCAAAUCCAUGAUUAUGGCUGGGAUCUGAUGAACAGAGGUGAAACCAUGGAUACAUUGAGAAGGGAAUUGGUAGGAUGUGAAUUGAAGAGAGGUCGCGAAUUUUCUAUGGUGAAUGUAAAUUGAGGCAAUAUCGCUAUGUUGGCGCCAAUGGCCUACGGUUGAGUGACUGGUGCUGAUUGAUGUUGCAAUGUUUGACUAGAGGGUUGUUCCUGUGCUGUGCACGCAGCAGCAUCCCCCAUGGACCCAAUAAGCACCUCGAACCUCCUCCCUCUCAUCGUGUGCUCGUCGCCGCCUCGACAGUUCCUCGUGUUCUCGUCUCAAUGCAACCCUUGAAGAGCUGGAUGCUGCAGAACCCGCCUACGCUUAACACACAGUUGUAUCUCAGCUCUUUGCAGUCAGAAGGUCGUAAAACCGAUCACUUAAACUGGUACACGGUAUGGGUCACGCCCUUUAGUUUGCUGCGAGUCCGUAUAAUCCUUGCCUAGGAGGAGUUGGUCCCACAUUGUUUACACGAACUGCAAGCCGUCUGUCGUGGAAAAUACUUCCUGGCUCCCUCGAGAUUGAGAGCACAACGAGAGGAGCUCACGUAUAUACAAGGAACAACCGAAACAGAAAUGCGUGCUCAAACAAACAUGCAUUAUACGGAUAAUUGAAAAAAAAAAUAAUUCUUCCUCGACGCUAUAACUUUUAUUGCGAAACAGCUGCUUUCGGAGUGUCAGCAAAAUUAUUGUCACGAACGAUCGUGGCGAAAGUUCGCGUCCACCGAUCGCUAAAUGACGCACUGGGAAAUUGAGUUAUAUUGAUUUUUAACAAAUAUACAAUCGAUGCUGAUGGACGAAAUGAUCGUGAUGGAAUUCCAAGAGGAAAAUUAUUCCGAUCAUUAUAAAAAAGAGAAAAUGUUGAGUGCAUAUGGAUGUGACGAUUCAAUAAAUCGUUGUAAACAGCUUUGGGAACAGUACGGAAAAAUGUGACUAAAAAUGGCUUUCGUUGAUUUUCCUUCAUUCAACGGUGCAGAAUUUCAUGGAUCCUCUCGUCUGGCAUCCCCACAGGAAAAUUGGAUCGUCAGUCAUGCGUCACAUAUAGAGCCCAUCAAGCACGUAUAUUCCUCCGUUCGCCGCGUCACGAACUGAAAACACAUUAAUUAUCUGUGCGCUGCGAGAGUGAACGAGAAAAAGAGGAAGCGAGAGGAUGAGAGAAAGAGGAAGGAAGGGAGAGAGGAGGAAAGCUCUGCAACGCGAAUAUACGCGACAGGGAGGAAAUGGGAGGAUGGGUAAACGGAGGCAGGAGUGGAUCGCAGUUGCAGCUGCAGAAAGGUUGAUGAGAGAGUUGCAAGCUCCGUAGAUAUAUACGUAUAACUCUCUGCACACGCAUACAUGGGACCGGACGAGCGGUUUACUCAACGAAUAUUUUAAUCUGCUUAAAAAGCCAUCCAUUGCAAAGUAAUUAUCAAGAUGAAAUUAAAACGUUGCGUGCCUAUAUAUAAAUAUAUAUUUGUAUUGUAGCUUUAGCACGUGCUGUGCAAAUGAAAAAGCUUUUCGUCGAAGUCCGGAUGAGCUAUGAUUUUCGUACCAGCGAUGUGUGCAUCUCCAUGAUUUUAUCUCUUGCUUCUUUGGCCUGAUGGAAUUUUAUCGUAAAGAGCUAUGAAUUUCCUACUACUUGUAUUAUCGUGAUAGAAUGACUUUAUUCAUCUGCAAAUUGAAUGAAAUGACGACAAUGAUGGUACCUCAAUCGGAAUUGUUUUAAAAACUUUAUACCUUGGGUAUCCCACGUCAGCAAAUUUCUCGUCUGUGACAUAAUCAAUGCUUUCACGACUGUCUCUCACCCUCUCUUUUGCUUCACGCAAUUUUCACUUUUUUCCACUUGAUUUUCUAUUUUACCGAAAGCUUCAACCGG